GCGCGGGGCACGCCGGGAAGUGUGUCUGAGGCCGCAGAGGGGACUGUGUGGCGGGAGCCCCGGGCGCCGAGGCCGGAGGAGGAGGCGGCGGGAUGGCGGAGCGGACGGCGGAGCGGACGGAGCGGCCGGCGCGGUGCUCAGCGCCGUGCGGGGCCGCGAGCCGGGCCUGCGGGGAUAUAAAACCCCUGUCAUCGGGAAUCCGGGUGCCACCUUGGACCAGUUCGAUGCCAUUGGUUUUCUGACAGUGAAAUCCGGAAGCUGGACGGCUUCCCCCUGCUGAGGAGACUGAAGAGCCUCCUGGUGAACAACAGCAGGACAUGUAUUCUCAGGAACCGCCUGUACGUCAUUUACAAGGCCCCCCGAGUGCGUGAGCUGGACUUCCAGAAGGUGAAGCUCAAGGCCCCGGCCACAACGGGGAGGAGAAGGUGGAGGAAGACGCCGUCACACGGCUCCUGAGUGUCUGGGGCCCGGCCGCCGGGGACAAGGUCCUGCCUUGAACGUGGAAUGUUGGCGUCAAGCUUCGCCGAAGGCUCCGGCGGCUGCAGUCGUUUCUAAUUCACAUUCUGAGCUCUCACCGCCUGGUCCUCAGAGCGGAACAGACACCCACUGCCUGCUGCCCGGGCUGUGCGCCCAGUGGUGUGUGUGUGUCUUUAAGCUGGACUAGGCCUCCGCCUGUAAAAUGUUUGGAUGUUUAAACGUUAAUAAAACUGGUGUGAACGGCA